rnacentral:lncRNA from 1 species
UUUCCCCUUCUUCCACCUUUUCAAUCGGCCUCCUCUUCUCACCCUCACCCACUCAAUUUUUCAUAAAUUUUUUUUAGAAAUCAUGUAUAUGUGCUUCUAGGAGUGGGAUAAGCAAGAAACAAACUUCAAAUUUCUUCCUCCCUUUAUGUUUAGUCUCAACAGCCCCUUCCUCCAUGAUGUCUUCAAUCUCACUGUAAUCUCAUGGAAAAUAACUUAUAAGCUUGCCUUAGAGCAUUAAAGAAUGGAUCAAUCAUAAGGUGAAUGGUAUGAUCACCUUUUCAUGGAAAUUUAUUUAGUGUAAGCUUUGUUGUAUGUUGAAUGUGUAAUUGAAGAUGAUUAUGUGUAGUAAAGGUAUUUAGAAACAUGGUGUGAAGAAUGAUUAUAAGCUAGGAGCAUUGGUGUGAGAAUUUAGGACUUAAAACGUGUAAGUUGUUUCUAUAACUAUUACAAGUGAUUAUUAAGCAUAACAUGAUGAAAUUUCGUAGAAAUGGGUUAGGAGAUAUGUAUACAUGUUUUCUUUGAUUCUGGAAAAUUAGAAUAGAAAUUGAAUUGUUUAGAGGGCAUAAGCUGUCAGUUAAGUUGUUUUGAGCAAAAUGUCUUAAAUGACUAAGUUGUGGUUUAAGCUGCUGUAUAAGUGGUUCGUGGCUCUGAGUAUAUAUGUUGGAACAUCUUUGUUAAAGGCUGGGUCGAAACUAAUUUGAUAGAAGCCAUAAGCUGCUAAUUAAGCUUUUUGGAAGUGCUUAAAUAGUCAAACGGCGUACUUCUGGUGCAAGGACUGAAAUGGAAAUUUUCGUGUAUGCUGGUUGAUGAAGUGAGAGUACGUUACAGAUGAGUUUUGUUUUGGGAAGAGCAAGAUCUAUAAGCCAAGACAUAAGCUAUUUUGGAAAAUGGAUUAUGGAUUUUUGGAGCUAGCAAAAGCUGCAAAUUGUGGAUAAGCUGCUUGAAAUUUCGGGACUAAUGCCAAGCAUCUUCUACGCAAUAUUACAAGUGUUUUGGCUUCACAGAUAGCAAAAUCAUCAAUACAGCUAUCCCUACAAGGACUCUUAGCACAUAACCAUUUGAAGAUCAGGUCCAAUAUUUGUACUCUGUCACUCACCUUAUAUACAAACAACCCUCUUUUCUUCCUCCUCUCGUCCGGCACAGAACUCAUAUUUUCAACAUUUUUGCUAGAUGUAGCAUGCUUUCGGAAAAAUGAUGGAUUAUGCUCCAUCAAUUUUAUGAUGGACAAGAUUUGUCCAUGACAGCUGUACAACUUAAUAUUUUUACUAUAUAGAGGUAUAUAUCAUUAAAUUCUUGAGAGUCAUGCUUCAUUCCAUCAUAUGUAUUCUAGCCUUGCAAGCUUGUGACAGUGACACUGUUAUUCGAGUCGUUAUUUUGUUGACCUGAGUCUGCUCUAUGCUCAGUCUGACUUAGAAGGAAUGCAGGUUGAGAUGGAUGAGGAAGUUUAACAAUCUCACUAUUAAGCAUUGAAACAACUGUGGCCAUAGUAGGUCUCUCCUUUGCAAUUUCUUGCACACAAAGAAGUCCAAUGUGUAUGCAUCUCAAAAUGUUACCCACAUAAUC